rnacentral:rRNA from 1 species
UACGUAGGAUCCAAGCGUUGUCCGGAUUUACUGGGUAUAAAGGGUGCGCAGGCGGGCUUGUGCGUCAGAGGUUAAAUACUUCGGCUCAACCGAAGAAAUGCCUUUGAUACGGCAAGUCUUGAGUGCGAGAGAGGAUGGUAGAAUUCCUGGUGUAGCGGUGAAAUGCGUAGAUAUCAGGAGGAAUACCAGUGGCGAAGGCGGCCAUCUGGCUCGCAACUGACGCUUAGGCACGAAAGCGUGGGGAGCAAACAGGAUUAGAUACCCUAGUAGUCC